rnacentral:rRNA from 1 species
CUCGAAGUUGAUCAUGGCUCAGAACGAACGCUGGCGGCGCGUCUUAAGCAUGCAAGUCGAACGGCAAGAGGUAGCAAUACCUCCUAGAGUGGCGGACUGGUGAGUAACACGUGGGUGACAUACCCUUCAGAUGGGGAUAGCUAUUAGAAAUAGUAGAUAAUACCGAAUACGAGCACAGGGGUUAGAGAUCUGUGAGGAAAGGAGCUAAGGCUCCGCUGAAGGAAUGGCCUGCGGCCCAUUAGCUAGUUGGUGAGGUAAGAGCCCACCAAGGCGAUGAUGGGUAUCCGGCCUUAGAGGGUGAACGGACACAUUGGGACUGAGAUACGGCCCAGACUCCUACGGGAGGCAGCAGCUAAGAAUAUUCCGCAAUGGACGAAAGUCUGACGGAGCGACGCCGCGUGGAUGAAGAAGGCCGGAAGGUUGUAAAAUCCUUUUGAAACUGAAGAAUAAGCGUUGUAGGGAAUGACAGCGUGGUGACAGUAGGUUUUGAAUAAGCAACGGCUAAUUACGUGCCAGCCGCCGC